rnacentral:rRNA from 1 species
GCAAGUCGUACGAUUCCUUCGGGUAGAGUGGCGAAAGGUCAUGGAAUAUAAUCGAAUGUGUCCUAAGGUUGAGGAUAGCUUCUGGAAACGGAAGGUAAUACUCAAUGUCCUCUACGGAGAAAAGGUUUACCGCCUUUGGAGCAGCGAUUAUCCUAUCAGGUAGUUGGUGAGGUAAAGGCUCACCAAGCCGAAGACGGGUAGCGGGUGCGAGAGCAUGACC